rfam:Triticum aestivum genome assembly, contig: Triticum_aestivum_CS42_TGACv1_scaffold_252432_3DL
GUUGUACUCCCUCCGUCCGGAAAUACUUGCCAUCAAAAUGAAUAAAAGGGGAUGUAUCUAGACGUAUAUUAGCUCUAGAUACACCCCUUUUUAUCCAUUUUGAUGACAGGUAUUUUCGGGCGGGAGGGAGUUGUUG